AUGAAUUUCAACAGAGAUGGCAAGG
rnacentral:piRNA from 2 species